rnacentral:rRNA from 1 species
CUACGGGUGGCUGCAGUGGGGAAUAUUGGACAAUGGGGGAAACCCUGAUCCAGCAAUGCCGCGUGUGUGAAGAAGGCCUGCGGGUUGUAAAGCACUUUCGGUUGGGAGGACUGCUUCUAGCACUAAUAUUGUUGGAAGUUGACGUUACCUUCAGAAGAAGCACCGGCUAACUCCGUGCCAGGCAGCCGCGGUAAUACGGAGGGUGCAAGCGUUAAUCGGAAUUACUGGGCGUAAAGCGCGCGUAGGCGGCUAGAUCAGUCGGGUGUGAAAGCCCCGGGCUUAACCUGGGAACUGCAUCCGAUACUGUCUAGCUUGAGUACAGGAGAGGAGAGUGGAAUUCCACAUGUAGCGGUGAAAUGCGUAGAUAUGUGGAGGAACACCAAUGGCGAAGGCAGCUCUCUGGCCUGAUACUGACGCUGAGGUGCGGAAGCGUGGGGAGCAAACAGGAUUAGAUACCCCAGUAGUC